GGAGGCUUGGCCAAAUGGCUAAGCUUUCCGCUUAGUAAGCGGAAGAUCAUGGGUUCGAUUCCCAUCUGCUCCA
rfam:Culex pipiens quinquefasciatus supercont3.144 genomic scaffold, whole genome shotgun sequence.